CAGAUGGGGAGGCGGCUAGGGUUCUACCUGCUGCUGGCGGAAGUAACAGGGUUUGAAGGAGCGGCAGAUGUGGGCAUGGUUGCGGUUGGGGAAGGCUCGCCGGCUGGGGGACGGCGAGCAUCGGUGAGCGCAACGAAAGGAAGCCAGGCAUCGGCGUACGACAAUGAUUUGGGCGCCUGCGGCAUGACGGCGAGUCGCCGCCGAACGCUCAGCGAUGGGGCGAGUUGGUUAAGGCAUCAGUGGCACCUUUGCUCGUCGCCAAGGAUGGCACGUGCGCGAUCUGAAGUACGAUGCCGGCCAACUUUGGCCUCCGAGGCUUCCCUGACACCCUCCUCUACCACUACCUCAAUAAAAAUGUCUUCAAAGGAUUAGGGCUUAGGGCAACUCGAUGGCAGCCAGUCGGAGUUUGCUAAUUUGCAUAUGCAAGUCCUUUUGAAAUAUGAAACUUCUGUGUGGUGAUGAGGUUCUGCUCAUCUUGCUUCUGCUCAUCUUGAUUGAUUCAUCUCCAGUGAAGGGGUGUGCCUUUUGAUGCAUUCAUUUUCUCUUUCAUACAUGGUGUUCAUCUUUGUUUUGGAGAACAUCACCCUUGCUGAUGUUCACCUUAUCUAUGUAUGCAGGGGGCUUGUCCUUCCAUGGUGCUCAGCCACGGACAGAUUUGGAGGGAAAUAGGAGAUCCUGACGAAAAUGAGCAUGCUAGCGGUGGAUCCAAGGAUGCGUGGUGAUUGUGCCAGGUUUGUGCUCUGGCUCUUCUGUUGGGUUUUUCCAUGGUUGUAUAUGGCAUAUUAGCGUUAUUAGGAGCUGUGGUUCUGGAUUUUUUCGCUGCUCUAUAGAUCUAUUAUUUGAAGAACUGAUGAUAUACAGUGAGUUGCCUUGCACCAUUAUUUGGCCUUUCAAGCGCUUGAUUUGAAUUUUUUAAUGUAUUCAAAGUGUCCCUACUUCCUAACAAGCCACCCAUUUGUCAUGUGUAUGUGUUGUCAUCACAAAGUUGUUUGCUGCCCACCCGAAAAGCGCUCACCGAGCCAAUCACGUGGAGGUGCUUGUCAAGUAUGGGUGGAAAGCUUGACAAGUCGUUUUAUCUCUAUGAUCUCCUCAUGACCACAACCGUAGUGCAGGAUGCUGCUGCCCAAGUUGUCGUUUAUCUUUGGGUAUUCCUUAAUGUUGGGGCUACUACAUAUCCAGAUCACUAGAUGAUACAAAGUACAGAAUCGAAGCUUCAUCAAAUCUAUCUGGGCGUUCAUUGCGUAAUACAAUGUUGAGAUUGAGAACAUUUUCAUAGGGGAACUUAAGAACUAGGAGGGUGCAGAUAAGUAAGAGUUGUUGGCAGCAGCAACCUACACAUGUGGAAACAGUGGCUAUGGCGGUUCAAAGGGAAGUUGUGGCUGCUAGACAGCAACUCACAACUUAGUGGCGGCUCAAAGGACAUAUAAUCUAUUUCUUCUUGGAGCUAUCUACUAUCAUAUUAUGACUCAUUGCUAGCUGAAGCUUCUAUUUUCUCGCCUUUUGUGGUGGCGAUUAUUCCUUGGACUGCAGUAAUUCCAUUUGAUAUUCCUCAUGUUGCAACCUUUUCCCGUAGAAUCAAAAGGAAUUAGAUGGAAAAAAUUGCAGGAGAGAAGGAAUGGUAUUCUCGGCUGACAUUCAAAAGCAGUCAAGAUGGUGAAGUUUAGAAUGGUGGAGCUCCGCGGAAUUAUGGAUAAAAAAUAUCCAUAACAUGUCUGUCAUUGCUCAUGUCGACCAUGAGAAGGAAUGGUAUUCUCGGUUGACAUUCAAAAGCAGUCAAGAUGGUGAAGUUUAGAACGGAGGAGCUCCACGGAAUUAUGGAUAAAAAAUAUCCAUAACAUGUCUGUCAUUGCUCAUGUCGACCAUGGCCAGUUUUACAUUUACUUCUUCGAUAAGGAGAUGACCAUGAACAGAGUAUCAUGGUAUUUGCCUUGGCAUUACUGAUGUUGUGUUCAGAUUACUGAAGGAUUGGUAGCCGCAAAGGAGUGAAGGGUAGAAAAUAUGUCCAUUGUCAUUGAAUUGGUGGGAUUGUCCCCAAGUUAGUGUUGCAGAUGUUUCUAUUUUAGAGCAAGAAGCCAAAUCAUGCUGUUCAUUGUAAAUCUUGAAAAGCUUGUUUAUUGUCACUUCUAUAUCUGUUGUAAAUGUUUAUUCAUGAUGUGGUACUUGUCAA